GGAUGUGAGGGCGAUCUGGCUGCGACAUCUGUCACCCCAUUGAUCGCCAGGGUCGAUUUGGCUGAUCUGGCUGGCUAGGCGGGUGUCCCCUUCCUCCCUCACCGCUCCAUGUGCGUCCCUCCCGAAGCUGUGCGCUCAGUUGAAGAGGACGAACUUCCCCACUAGAGGAGGACCGGUCUUUGGUCAAGGGUAUAUGAGUAGCUGCGCUCCCCUGCUAGAACCUCCAAACAAGCUCUCAAGGUCCAUUUGUAGGAUAACGUAGGGUAGUCAAGCUUCCAAGACUCCAGACACAUCCAAAUGAGGCGCUGCACGUGGCAGUCUGCCUUUCUUU
rnacentral:snRNA from 1 species